GUGAACGCUGGCGGUAGGCCUAACACAUGCAAGUCGAACGGCAGCACCGUAAGAGCUUGCUCUUACGGGUGGCGAGUGGCGGACGGGUGAGGAAUACAUCGGAAUCUACUUUUUCGUGGGGGAUAACGUAGGGAAACUUACGCUAAUACCGCAUACGACCUACGGGUGAAAGCAGGGGAUCUUCGGACCUUGCGCGAUUGAAUGAGCCGAUGUCGGAUUAGCUAGUUGGCGGGGUAAAGGCCCACCAAGGCGACGAUCCGUAGCUGGUCUGUGAGGAUGAUCAGCCACACUGGAACUGAGACACGGUCCAGACUCCUACGGGAGGCAGCAGUGGGGAAUAUUGGACAAUGGGCGCAAGCCUGAUCCAGCCAUACCGCGUGGGUGAAGAAGGCCUUCGGGUUGUAAAGCCCUUUUGUUGGGAAAGAAAAGCAGCAGGUUAAUACCCCGCUGUUCUGACGGUACCCAAAGAAUAAGCACCGGCUAACUUCGUG
rnacentral:rRNA from 1 species